GACGAACGCUGGCGGCGUGGAUUAGGCAUGCAAGUCGAACGGUAUCAUCCUUUCGGGGGUGAGAGAGUGGCGAACUGGUGAGUAACACGUAGGUUAUCUACCCUCAAGACGGGGACAACCCAGGGAAACUUGGGCUAAUACCGGAUGUGAGCAACUUUUAGUUGUUUGAAAGGUGGCGUAAGCUGUCGCUUGGGGAUGAGCCUGCGUCCUAUUAGUUAGUUGGUGAGGUAACGGCUCACCUAGGCAAUGAUAGGUAGGCGGCCUUAACGGGUGGUCGCCCACACUGGGAUUGAGAUACGGCCCAGACUCCUACGGGAGGCAGCAGUCGAGAAUAGUCUACAAUGGUCGGAAGACUGAUAGUGCGACGCCGCGUGAACGAUGAAUCCCUUCGGGGUGUAAAGUUCUUUUAUAUGUGAGCAGUGCUUCUUAUAUUAACAGUAUGGGGAGAGAGAUAUUAGCAUAUGAAUAAGCAACGGCUAACUCCGUGCCAGCAGCGCGGUAAA
rnacentral:rRNA from 1 species